UGCRGUCGAGGGGUAUUUGUAGCAAYACAGAGAGACCGGCGCACGGGUGAGUAACGCGRAKGSRACCUGCCCUUUACKGGAGGAUAGCCCGUAGAAAUGCGGAUUAAUACCCCAUAGUAAUGUUGGAUCGCAUGAUCUGGCAUUUAAAGUUUCGGCGGUAAAGGAUGGGCAUGCGUGACAUUAGCUAGUUGGCAGGGUAACGGCCUACCAAGGCUUCGAUGKCURGGGGUUCUGAGAGGAAGAUCCCCCACACUGGUACUGAGACACGGACCARACUCCUACGGGAGGCAGCAGUGAGGAAUAUUGGUCAAKGGGCGAGAGCCUGAACCAGCCAUCCCGCGUGCAGGAAGAAUGCCCUAUGGGUUGUAAACUGCUUUUUCGCAUGAAGAACACCUUUGACGUGUCAGAGGCUGACGGUAAUGCGUGAAUAAGCACCGGCUAACUCCGUGCCAGCAGCCGCGGUAAUACGGAGGGUGCAAGCGUUAUCCGGAUUUAUUGGGUUUAAAGGGUGCGUAGGCGGCUAUUUAAGUCAGKGGUGAAAUCCUGCAGCUCAACUGUAGAACAGCCAUUGAAACUGAAUAGCUUGAGUAAUCUUGAGGUAGGCGGAAUGUGUAGUGUAGCGGUGAAAUGCUUAGAUAUUACACAGAACACCGAUUGCGAAGGCAGCUUACUAAGGAUUCACUGACGCUGAUGCACGAAAGCGUGGGGAUCAAACAGGAUUAGAUACCCUGGUAGUCCA
rnacentral:rRNA from 1 species